GUGGAAGAGCCUCCAUAGAGGACCUGCCCCAUUGUGAGCACUCAGCAAGUGAGAGCUGUGAGGACAGCCAUAACAAGAUGGCGGUUUCCACCCUGUGCCCUUGACGUGUGCUUCUGCAUGAUCUGGGUGCUGGGACCCCAGUUCUAGUCAUGACGGAAUCCUUCCAGGCAUCUUGAUCUCUGCCUCUGCUCCUCCUUCUGUGUUCAGCUUUAAGGCUGUGAAGCUCUCCCCAGCACGGGCUCCCCAUUUACAGACCCCAGUGCUAUUCAGGCCUAGUGCAGGACCGUGUUUUCUUGUCACUUGUGCUCAGUCCUUCAUCAUUGCCCGAGCGAGCCCCAGUCCUUGCCCACAGCUCAGGGAGCUGCAUCCAGGUGUCUUCACCUGCACCAUCAGGAUGAAAGGUUACCUGCUGGAACCUGCCUGACAGGUUAGGCAAGGCCCUUCUGUGUGCAGGUAAGUUAGGAAUACUUUCUUAUGUAUCAAUUGUGUGUGCAAAUUUUCAUAUGUAUUUAUUUUUUUCCUUUUUGAGAGAG